rnacentral:sRNA from 1 species
AAGAAGCGCACAAGGGAUAGAAGCGGAAAUCCUUUCGCCAUUGCGAAAGAUUGGAGCGGAUAGCCCGGUCCCUU